rnacentral:rRNA from 1 species
UAAUACGUAGGGAGCAAGCGUUGUUCGGAAUCAUUGGGCAUAAAGAGCGCGUAGGUGGUUUGUUAAGUCUGGUGUGAAAGCCCACAGCUCAACUGUGGAACUGCAUCAGAAACUGGCAAACUUGAGUGUGGGGGAGGAGAGUGGAAUUCCCAGUGUAGAGGUGAAAUUCGUAGAUAUUGGGAGGAACACCGGUGGCGAAGGCGGCUCUCUGGACCACAACUGACACUGAGGCGCGAAAGCUAGGGGAGCGAACGGGAUUAGAUACCCCGGUAGUCCUAGCCGUAAACGAUGGGCACUAGGUGUGGGGGGUAUUGACCCCUUCCGUGCCGCAGCUAACGCAUUAAUUGCCCCGCCUGGGGAGUACGGUCGCAAGACUA